CACGCGCGCGUCCAGGAGCACGGGACUCUGGGAGUUGUAGUCCUGGCCUCUUGGUUCUGUGACGCUUAGGGGAGCUUUCCCACUACAGCCUCAAACCUCUUGCACCCAGAGACUGUCAUCCUGCAAAGAACACACCACCUCACUAACUUUGGGCUGGAAAAGUCAAACCAAAGGAAGCACUUUUUUGGCUGAAAGGAAUGUCGGGGUGGAGAUAGAACUGAUCUACGCUUUGUACUCAGCAGAUGAUCCAACAAUACACAAGUGAGUCACAUAAGCUCUUGGGACCUGCAUUGUUUACGUAAAAUAAAGAUAUCUUAAAAGCAAA